rfam:Salmo salar isolate Sally breed double haploid chromosome ssa14, whole genome shotgun sequence.
UCCCGUGUGGCUCAGUUGAUAGAGCAUGGCACUUGCAACGGCAGAGUUGUGGGUUUGAUUCCCACGGGGGGAC